ensembl:lncRNA
UCAAUGAUAUUUGAAAAGUAAUAGUGAUCAGGUGAAGUCCCUGGUGUCUGGAAAAAAAGCAAUGUCACAUCCAUUUUUAAGAAGGGUAGAAAAGACCCAGGGAACUGCCAACCUGUCAGCCACACUUCUGUACCAAGGAAGAUCAUGGAGCAUUUAUUCCCGGAAGCUGUACUAAGACAUACAAAAGAGAGGGACCUAAUAUAGGAUAACCAGCAUGCCUUCACUGCCUGACCAACUUGUCACUUUUUAUGAUGGCUUAACUGCAUCAGUGGACAAGGGAGGAGCCAUUGAUGUCAUAUAUCUGGACUUCAGUAAGGCCUCUGACAUGGUCCCUCAUAACAUUCUUCUCUCCAAAUUGGAAAGAUACGGAUUUGAUGGGUGGACAGUUCAAUGCACAAGGAACUGGUUGCAAGAUCAUACCCAGAGAGUAAUGGAAAAUAGCUCAGUGUCUGAAUGGAGAUCAGUGAUGAGUGGUGUCCCUCACAGGUCAGUCAGUACUGGGGCAAAUUCUCUUUAACAUCUGCAUCAGUGACACUGACCAUGCAAUUAACCCGCAGCAAAUUUGCAGAUAACAGUAAGCUGUGUGGUGUGGUUGACACUCCUGGAGGAUAGGAUACCAUCCAUAAAGACCUAGAUAGGCUCAAGAAGUGGGCUCAGGAUAACCUCAUGAGGCUUAAUAAGAACUCCAAGAUUUUUCACCUAGGUUAUGGCAACUCCUUUUGUCAGUACAAGUUGGAGGAACGUAAGGAUGAAGAGCAGCACUGCCAGAAAGGACAUGGGGAUACUGGUGGAUGGGAAGCUGAACACGAGCCAGCAAUGUGCCCUCACAGCCCAGAAAGCAAACCAUAUCCUGGGCUGCAGCAAAAGCAGCAUGAUCAACACUCCCUCCCAGCUUGGUGUUGUCUGCAAACUUACUGAGGGUGCACUCAAUCCCCUCAUCAAGAUCAUCAAUGAAGAUGUUAAACAGAAGCGGCUCCAGCACUGAGCCUUGAGGCACACCACUCAUGACCGGCCACCAACUGGAUUCAACUCCAUUGACCACUACUCUUUGGGCCCGGCCAUCCAGCCAGUGCUUCACCCAGCAGAGCAU